AAACUUUGGAAAAGAAAAGAAGGCUAGUGCAGCUAGAGCAUACUAAUGUGAUGGAGACAAGUACUGGGCAAAUAAUUCACACAGGAAAGUGGCCCCUCACUGACUGUCAAAAUAUAUGAUAUCAUGGAAAAAGCAUGGCUAUGCAGGAGUCAAUCCAGAGAUGAAGAACCUGGACACACCACCAUGGGCCAUAGGACAUCUGAAGAGUUCAGUUUCCUCAUCAAUAAAAUUGAGAUAAUAAUUUCUUCCUCUUAGGGUCAUUGCGAAGAAAUCAAGCAUAUAACUUGAAAAUAGGAAUCUUUCUUACUCCUCCCCCGCUUGCCUUAAGAAAAAUGAACAGCAUAGAAGAAGCAAAGCCUGUUUACAACUUAGGCUCUCUCUAAGUAUCUACAGACUGUGACAUUUUGAGAGAAGUUUACAGCAUAACAAGCAAGAUGUUUCCAAAUCAGGUCUGCUGCAUUCCU
rnacentral:lncRNA from 10 species